rnacentral:rRNA from 1 species
GGAUGCGAUCAUACCAGCACUAAAGCACCGGAUCCCAUCAGAACUCCGUAGUUAAGCGUGCUUGGGCGAGAGUAGUACUAGGAUGGGUGACCUCCCUGCAAGUCCUCGUGUUGCAUUCC